GAUUUGAAUUAUAGAGUAGUAUUCAAUCUUUCAUAAAAUAUUGAUUUCAGUUCUAUGGUCCCCCGGGUAUUUUCAGGAGGGCAGCACCAGUAAGGGCUUCAUUUCUGGAGACAAGCAGCUUGGAAAGUGAGAAUCUGAGAACUGUUUUACAAAAAUAGGAUUUUCUCUAGAUUUUCGUGGUGAACCCUAUACGCCAUUGCAGUGAGGGAUGUCCCAGACCUUGGAUAUUAACCCCUUGUGGCGAAGAGGGCCUCUCAGAGUCAUUGACUGAUAGUGAUUGAUUGCUUUAACCCUGUGUUUGUUGAAGACAGCACCUGUUGAAUAUAAGGGACCGCCCUGUGAACUCCGUUUGAAGUUGCAAUGUUCUAUGGUCCCCCGGGUAUUUUCAGGAGGGCAGCACCAGUAAGGGCUUCAUUUCUGGAGACAAGCAGCUUGGAAAGUGAGAAUCUGAGAACUGUUUUACAAAAAUAGGAUUUUCUCUAGAUUUUCGUGGUGAACCCUAUACGCCAUUGCAGUGAGGGAUGUCCCAGACCUUGGAUAUUAACCCCUUGUGGCGGUUUGUAAAAAAACACGGUUUCCUAUUUUUGGCAGAUUUUUAAGUUUAAUAGAAAAUGCAUUGCAAAUAAUCACCGGUGUU